rnacentral:rRNA from 1 species
CACACCACCCUGAACGCGCCUGAUCUUGUCUGAUCUCGGAAGCUAAGCAGGUCAGGCCUGGUUAGUACUUGGAUGGGAGACAGGUCUCACUCUUGCUCAGGCUGGUCUCAAACUCCGGAACUCAAGCA